AAAUACUCGAAGGUCUUCCACCCACACGGAAGAUGAAGCUCCAAUCACAAGCAGCAUCUUUCAGACCAUCAAUGAACCGCCAAGUCUGAGUCGCCUACGACGGUUUAUGUGGAACGUCGAUGGGAGGACGUCUGUAGCCAAAGAAGAAGAAGACAACACAA